rnacentral:lncRNA from 1 species
GGCGGCGGCCGGGUCCCGCCCGCGCCUGCGCCCGGCGGCCCCGACCGGCGCCGUUCCGUGCCCGUGAGGGGCCGCGCCCUCAGCGCUGCCGCCGGGCGGACGCGGCCCCACGGAGAGGGGCAGCGGGAACCGGGACUGCGGCCCUCCCCGGGCUGAGGGCAGUUGCAGACACGGAGAGUUUGUUUGCACAAACAAGCGCGGAGGGAGAAGUCGAGAGGCGGGAACAGUCUGCUUUUGCUGAGAGUGGAAAUGCCUCUGUUGAAAUGAUCUCGUGGAAAUAGGAAGAUGCAAGAAGAAAAUGUUCAAGUAGUCUGUAAAACCUGCACACUGCUACAAACAGAAGGAAAGUUCACAAAAGAGAAUAAGAGUUGGGGGAUAGUGAUUGAUCUGUAUCAUAUGCUGUCCUCAUGUGCUUUCUUUUGGGAGAAUAGCUGCUGUCCUUUGCCAUUCCUGAGCUGGCAUUUUACUCACCAGUCUCUGGGCAAGGAUUCCAAGCCAAACACCACAUCCAGUGGUUUCUGUCUGGAGAGGAUAUGAGUCUUCCACAUUCAGCUGUAGUGAAGAAGAUUA